CAGCUACGACUGCAGUUCCUUGCACACCUGGAGAAACCAAACAAGAGGAUUGCAAUGAAUGCAUCUGCAAAGCUGAUGGUACAGGAUAUCAAUGUACUGAAAGAGAAUGCAAACAUGACCCAGAAUCGAAAGCGGACGAUCAUGGAAAAAUUUGCGAACCAGGAUCAACGAA